UGGUAACGACGCCAUAGUCGCUUGUCAUUCAAAACUCUCGUUUUUCCUUUUUUGUUCCAAAUAAACUAUUUGGAAACUGCACACACCCGUAUUGUUCUUAUUCGAUUCUGAAAUUGGGCCCGGUCGUCCCAAUCUUAGCACAACAGACCAAAUACGAGAAAUUCAACGCCAACACCACGGGCGAAAUUCUAAACGUAUAAGUUCAAUCCAAUUUUCGUACUUGACUUUGUGUUUUUUUACUUAACUUUGCGUUUUUCGUACUUUAAUAGUACAAUUCCUAAACAAAAGUCACUAAGUAAAGCUGAUUUCCAAAUGUUGUACUUGACUGAUUUAAACAAUAUUUCAAGCAAACAAAUUAGUGGAUUUACGGCCAAUAUUUAUAUGUAAGCUAUUGUAAAAUAUUUAUUGGUGUACCAAUUUUCGAGAAUUUAAACCUCAGAGUGCUAGUAAACGAACACACUAGCUGUCGAGCACAGCCUCCAAGUCAAACAAAGAAUCUAGCGGCAAUUUCAGCGAAUUCAGUGAAUUCUACGAAUUUUCCGAAUGUUUUUAAAAAUAAUUUUGAUGUAGUCCUUAACGAACAACAACGUAUCUUCAAAUAGUGAUGAUGACAGUGAGCAUGGUCGUGAGAUUCGAAAGAGAAAGCGUGAGCGUUUUCUACCAUUUUACGCGAAACGGAAUUAUGUAUUUGAACAUUUUUACAACGAAAGGUGCGACGAAUCUUUCGCUUUGAUAGACCAUCAAUUCAGUUCUUUUACAGAUAUGUUUUUGUAACACUGCUCGUCUUUUUUUAUUGUCUUAUGGUUUUAAAUUUGAUUUUCAGAAAUAGUAUCCCCUCACUUGCCUAAAGGGUAAAUUAGAGCCAAACGUAGGAUCACGACUUGGACGUAGUUCUUACGGCCCUACAGUUUUAUGCUACGGGAUCUUUUAAGACUAGUCGGAAAUGUUUUAAGGAUCAGUUAGUCUUCCUUGUCAAGGCAGUGCACAAUUUUUCUUUUGCACUCAGUUUGGUAUCUAAAAACUAUAUAUUGUAUCCGGAUGAUCUUGCUGAGGCGAGUGCAGCGUAAUGUCAAACCAAAUUUGAUAUCAAAUUUUACUAGGUUAAACGAGAUUUUCAAAAUGUCACCGGAAUGUUGUGUCAGAAUGUGUUGAUGGGAAUCACGUACGCAUUGCGCGACUUUUCCUCCAUGAAAAGGUUUAAGUCUACAGAAAGAAUUAUCAAUCCAUUUUUGUCCAAGGAAAAUGUGAUGCCGUUUUAUAUCUUCCAACGAAACAAAGCCCGGAAGUUGUCACGACUCUACGAUAUUCGAAGCCAGUGUGAUUAAAAAACAAUUUGCUAACGGCUCAUUCGGCCAUGGCUUCCUUCUCGGGGACAGUGGGAUAGCUGUCCAACGUAUCUCAUAACUCCUUAUGAAGUUAUUACGGCUAUCCCGCCACUGCUAAAGAGAUAUAUAUAUAAUAAUUCAAAUGAUUUAAUUUUAUUCAAAAUUUUUGUUUCAUUCUUAUAUUCGAUUACAGAAACAUUUCAACCAAGCCCACAAAUCAACGAAGUGCAUUGUGGAGCGAUCAUUUUGUAUUAAAAAAAAGAGGUUUUAUUGCCUACACGGAGAACUACGUUUCACUCAAACUAGAGCCUCGCGGGUAAUACCAGCAUGUUGUGUGUUACACAAUAUUGUUUUGAAUGGAAACCAAUUACGAUUGACGAAGACCAUUUCCCCAUAGUGCCAAACAAGAAUUUGAGCGUCAGGUUAAUCCGGCGACAGUGGUUUGCAAGCGCCAAUGAAUAACAAAUCUUAUUUUUAUAGUUGUAUUUUUCAUGUUGACAAAAAUACAAUAAAUUAAAGUUCGUUUUAUGAAUUAAA